AAGUCAAAAAGACAAAUGCUUUAGAGGAAUACCUAAGGACUCAAAGAUGAUGAAGGGCGUGUAAACCUGCGAAAAGUUCGAGUAAGUUGGAAAAAAACAUUGAACUCGAAAUUCCCGAAUAGAGCAAUCUUGGUUGCCAUAAGCGCCAAAACUACUGAAAAAAUUCAUAAAUCAGCAAGAAAAAACUUAGUGAACUGAAACAUCUUAUUAACUAAAGGAAAAAAAAGCAAACGCGAUUUCCUGAGUAGCGGCGAGCGAAACGGAAGAAGCCUAAACUGAACUGAAAAUCAGGUCAGGGUUGUGGGAUUUUCAUAAAAUUUUGAUUUGAAGAUUUAAGCAGCUGAAACCUGCACCAUAGAUGGUGAAAGUCCAGUUCUCUUUCGAAAAAAAAAAAUAGAAUACAUCCCGAGUAGCUUGGGACACGUGGAAUCCCUUGUGAAUCAGCGAGGCCCACCUCGUAAGGCUAAAUACUCUUGAGUCACUAAUAGUGAAAAGUACCGUGAGGGAAAGGUGAAAAAGAACCCCUAUAGGGGAAUGAAAAGAUUCUGAAAUCUAAAGCAAUCAAUCUGUGGGAGAGUCCGCUUGACCACGUGCCUGUUGAAGAAUGAGCCGGCGACUCGUAAUUUUUGGCGUGGUUAAAGAAAUUUUCUGUAGCCAGAGUGAAAACAAGUCUGAAAGGGGCGUAGGAACUCGUCAAAAAUUACGGACCCGAACCCGAGUGAUCUAACCAUGACCAGGAGGAAGCCAGGGUAAAACUUUGUGGACGUCCGAACCGACCGAUGUUGAAAAAUCGGCGGAUGAGUUGUGGUUAGGGGUGAAAUGCCAAUCGAACUCGGAGCUAGCUGGUUCUCCCCGAAAUGCGUUGUGGCGCAGCAAUUAUAGAAGAUCUAUUAAGGGGUAGAGCACUGUUUCGGUGCGGGCCAGUCAAAUGGUACCAAACUGUCGCAAACUCCGAAUACUUAAAUAGAAUACCUAUAAAAAGUGAGACUUUGGGGGAUAAGCUCCAAAGUCAAGAGGGAAACAGCCCAGAUCAUCAGCUAAGGCCCCUAAAUAAUUGCUAAGUGUUAAAGGAAGUCUCCACGCUGAAACAGCUAGAAGGUUCGCUUAGAAGCAGCAACUCCUUGAAAGAAUGCGUAAUAGCUCACUGGUCGAUAAGCAUGGAUGCGCCGAAAAUGUCUGGGACUAAGCGAUUUGCCGAAGCUAUGAGGUCCAUUUGGGCCGGUAGGGGAGCGUUCUGUUUUCGAGGUGAAGGUCUAUUGAAAAAGAGGCUGGAUCAAACAGAAGUGAGAAUGUUGGCUUGAGUAACGCAAACAUUGGUGAGAAUCCAAUGCCCCGAAAACCUAAGGUUUCCUUCACAAGGCUCGUCCAUGGAGGGUUAGUCAGGACCUAAGAUGAGACUGAAAAGUGUAAUCGAUGGAAAACAGGCGAAUAUUCCUGUACUUUUUUGAAUUGAGUGACAAAGGACGGAGAAGGCAAUUUUUGAUUAUAUUAUGGGAGUAAUGGAAAUGUUCACACAUAGUUAAAGAAAAGAAACUUUGCAGAUCUAUACAAAAAAAUGUGAAGACAUGAUCCGACAUUCUAAACCUCUGCCUUGCAGAGGCUUAUUUAUGUUCAAAAAAAUUUUGUCAAACUUCCAAGAAAAUUUUGAGACACUGUAGAAUUCAAAUGACCUGUACCGCAAACCGACACAGGUAGGUAAGUUGAGAAAACUCAGGGGCGCGAGAGAACUCUCUCUAAGGAACUCGGCAAAAUAGCCCCGUAACUUCGGGAGAAGGGGUGCCUGUGAAGGCCGCAGUGAAAUGACUCAUUGAACUGUUUCGCAAAAACAUAGGUCUCCGCAAAAUCGUAAGAUAACGUAUGGGGGCUGACGCCUGCCCAGUGCCAGAAGGUUAAAGAAAUUGGUUAAAUGCUGAUAACUGAAGCCCUGGUGAACGGCGGCCGUAACUCUAAAUCGUUGGAGUUUUAAAAUUUGGCUAUAUGCUGGAAAAUCUUUUGAAAACUUUUUCUACAUUAUUUUUGUAACAAUGAAAAAGUAGAGAUAAUCAGCAGGAAAGACUUUAAAUAUCAUGAUUCAAAAAAUUCCCGAAAAAUAUGGUAAUUAUAUCGCAGGAUUGACUGAUGGGGAAGGGUCUUUUAAUGUCUCUUUUCGUCAAAGAGAUGACUUUUUAAUUGGAUGGAAAAUCACACCUGUUUUCAAUAUUUCUCAAGAUGAACGCGAAAUUCUAGCUUGGAUCAAACAUAUUCUUAAAUGUGGAACUCUCCGUUUUCGAAAAGAUGGAGUCUGGGCAUUUGAAGUUUCGAACCUAAAAAGUAACGGAGGUUUGCAAAGGUUUCCUCAAACUGGACGGAAAUCAGUUGUUGAGUGUAAAGGCAAAAGGAAGCUUGACUGCAAGACUUAUAAGUCGAGCAGAGGCGAAAGCCGGCCUUAGUGAUCCGACGGUCAACUUAACCAUGUGGAAGGGCCGUCGCGCAAAAAUUAAAAGUUACUCCGGGGAUAACAGGCUCAUCUUCCCCAAGAGUUCACAUCGACGGGAAGGUUUGGCACCUCGAUGUCGACUAUUCGCAACCUGGGGCGGUAGUAUGUCCCAAGGGUUGGGCUGUUCGCCCAUUAAAGCGGAACUCGAGUUGGGUUCAGAACGUCGUGAGACAGUUUGGUCCAUAUCCGCGAUUAGCGCAAGAAUAUUGAGAGGAUUUUUCCAUAAUACGAGAGGACUUGGAAGAACAUACCACUGGUGUACCAGUUCUUAUUCCAAUAGGACACGCUGGGUAGCUAUGUAUGGAGAAGAGUACCGCUGAAAGCAUCUAAGUGGGAAGCUCACCUCAAGAUGAAUAUUCUCCAAUAGAUUCCGGUAAGAUCAGCCGGUUGAUAGGUUUCAAGUAUACGAUUUGUAAAAAUUUUAGCUAAGAAAUACUAAUAAUCGAUUGUUUUUGAUUUAUUUUAC
rnacentral:rRNA from 1 species